UACGUAGGGUGCAAGCGUUAAUCGGAAUUACUGGGCGUAAAGCGUGCGCAGGCGGUGAUGUAAGACAGAUGUGAAAUCCCCGGGCUCAACCUGGGAACUGCAUUUGUGACUGCAUCGCUGGAGUACGGCAGAGGGGGAUGGAAUUCCGCGUGUAGCAGUGAAACGCGUAGAUAUGCGGAGGAACACCGAUGGCGAAGGCAAUCCCCUGGGCCUGUACUGACGCUCAUGCACGAAAGCGUGGGGAGCAAACAGG
rnacentral:rRNA from 1 species